CCCCGAUUCACCCUUGCCAGCCCUCCACAGCCUCUGCCAGGGGCUGGGCCAGAGGCCUGUCAGCCAGGGCUGUGAGCGCGGGGAAGGAGCAUGUACUCAAAGACCCGGCCAGGAAGAAAGAUUUGAUCUCCCGGCAGGAUCCACUUCCCAUGGCGACGCCUUCUUGAGUCGAAGCUCUGAUCUUUUUGGUGAAUGCCUUGGAGGUUUGGGUUCAGUGGACUUUGACUGUGUGUCUCCAGAAAGCUCAGCACAUGCCUCCUGAAGCAGAUAUCCAGCCGGCUGAAGCUUGCUGCCGUGGAACCAAUCGUGAGACCGUUGCACAGUGGUGUCUGCGUGAGAUCAGUGCAAUACCGUGAAGAGUCCGCUUGAUUUGGGGGAAGUGCUCGCACAGCAGUCAAGAGGUCUAGAUGUGAGCCUGACUCUG
rnacentral:lncRNA from 1 species